rnacentral:lncRNA from 1 species
ACUCCAGACCUGCCCCUGCAGGGACACUGCACCUUCAGCUGCUGGACCCGUUUCUCUUGGCAGGCAGCGCCCCCCUCCGUGUCCGAGGGCCCCGGGAGCCCUGCCCAGACCCAGGCGGUCCUGCCUGCUUCAAGAACCUCUCCAAGACCCUGGGCUUCGGGAUGGGGCUGCAAUGAACGGCAGCUCAGGGCCCACCUGGUUCACCCAAAGCCCCGCUCAGUGCAGCCCCAUCCUGCCACCCCUUGAAACCUCUGGGACAGGGGCCGCAGAGCUUGGAGCAGUCGGAAGUUUCCAGGCCAGGGAUUGAGGCCGAGCCACGGCAGUGGUAACACCAGAUCCUUAACCAGCACUUUGUCCUCCACGUGAAACCCGAGUGGUACCUCGCUUUCCUUGUUAUUUUAACCAGGAGCUUCAGCUACGUGAAAUAAAAUUUGUAUUUUCUGGCAAGACGAGAAGAAAAAAUUCCAACAUAGCAUUUGUCUCUGCCCGUUGGCCCCCUGCCUGCCCCCCACUGGGACUGUGCGUCUGCAUUUACGCAUCGGCCAGACCUCCCCCAGCAGCAGGAACACCUGCUCAGCUUCUCCGGCACCAGUACCGACGGGACGGCUCCUGAAAGAGCCUGUGGACGGCAGCGCUAAGACGCCGGGACAAAACCUCUAACAAGUUAAGGUUAAAAGUUCUGCGGAAGAAGAAGAUUCCCCGGAAAACGAUCACGGCUGGAUGUCCCUCAGAAGGUCUGGCAGUCGCCGUCCUUAAGGAAAAAGGGGGUCUCCUCUGUGGGCAGGACCCCCAGGCUGCGGGGGGCCUUCCCGACCAGGCCCUGUUUGAACCUCUCUGGCUUUUGCUGUGAGACAGUGUGAUUCUGAAGGUGGGUUUCAGGCAUGGCUUUCCCCCGCAUCCACAGGGCGGAUGCAUCCCAGCUCUGCUGCUGGCGGGGAUGAGCUCACGGCACCAUCGGCACCCAUUUCUGGUGGCCCUGCUGCCAGACGGUGAUACACUAGGUCCCGGGCUCCACGUCCCCUGCUUUCGUCCUGGCAGGGCCACGGGAGCUCCUGUCGCUUUGAGGGGGAAGGUCAGACCCAGGAGUGACGUGCUCUUGGCUGAGGGUCUGUGUCAGUGCACCACCGUUAUACAUUCGGGAAGGUUCCUUCAGCAGAAACACGCAUGAGACACGGCUAGGGAUGGACAGGAUGAGGGAGACGUGGCCCGAGGCCCAGGGAGCCCAGCCUGUGUCCCCAGGAGCAGAGGCUCGGGACUCGCUCGCUCCGUGUCUGGGUCUCGGAGAACCAGCGCUACUUCACUGGAAACGGUGAAGGUUCGUGACAAAGGACCGUUUCCUCCAGCUGAUGACACGAAUUCCUAAAGAGGAGAAAACGCUGGCCUUACUUAUUUGGCCGCUCCUGGGUCUGACCCCCCCCUUGAAGCAACAGGACGGCCCCCCUCCCCCAUGUUACGAGUGGAGCCACCCGCCCCCACCAGGCACCUGCAGAGCCACGGGCGCUCGGAAAGCUCCGAUUUUCCAUUUUUCUCCACGACAUGCUGUGGCUGCCCCAUGCUCUCCUGCGUGCGCGGCUCUGCUCCCUGGAUGGAUUUGGUCACGUCUGUGCCGACACUGCAGUUCCCUGACGUCCCUUCUUCCUUGGGACGCGCUCCUCAUCCUCCCAUCUUCCUUUUGUCAAAUAUUUCUUGGUUAUUUCUGUAGUUUACUCCUCCAUGGGAAUGUCAGAGGCCUGACUGUUGGAAUUUUGAUUUAAGUUUCUAUAAAUUCUACAAAUUACAAUGGACGUAUUGAA